UGGGGAAUUUUGGACAAUGGGGGAAACCCUGAUCCAGCCAUCCCGCGUGUGCGAUGAAGGCCUUCGGGUUGUAAAGCACUUUUGGCAGGAAAGAAACGUCAUGGGUUAAUACCCCGUGAAACUGACGGUACCUGCAGAAUAAGCACCGGCUAACUACGUGCCAGCAGCCGCGGUAAUACGUAGGGUGCAAGCGUUAAUCGGAAUUACUGGGCGUAAAGCGUGCGCAGGCGGUUCGGAAAGAAAGAUGUGAAAUCCCAGAGCUCAACUUUGGAACUGCAUUUUUAACUACCGGGCUAGAGUGUGUCGGAGGGAGGUGGAAUUCCGCGUGUAGCAGUGAAAUUCGUAGAUAUGCGGAGGAACACCGAUGGCGAAGACAGCCACCUGGGAUAACACUGACGCUCAUGCACGAAAGCGUGGGGUGCAAACAGG
rnacentral:rRNA from 1 species